GAAACUAAAUAGGAUUCCCUCAGUAAUGGCGAAUGAACAGGGAUCAGCUCAGAAUGGAAAUUGGGGCCCUCGGCCUUGAAUUGUAGUCUCGAGAUGCAUCGCCAAUGGAGGCGCAGAUGUAAGCCUCUUGGAAAAGAGCAUCAACGAGGGUGAGAGUCCCGUUUGUCAUCUGCAGUCCCCCAUGCUCGGCGUGCCUUCUAAGAGUCGCGUUCCUCGGAAUUGGAGCGUAAAUUGGGUGGUAAAUUUCAUCUCAAGCUAAAUAUUGGUUCGAGACCGAUAGCAAACAAGUACCAUGAGGGAAAGGUGAAAAGGACUUUGAAAAGAGAGUUAAAAGUGCCUGAAAUUGCUGAAAGGGAAGCGAAUGGAACCAGUGUUGCUUGGCGAGAUUGUCAUACGCAUUCGCGUGUGGUGGUUCUUGCCUUGUGUGUCAACGCCAGUUCGCGAUCGAGGAAAACUCUAGGGACAUGGUAGCCUGUCUUCGGGUGGGCGAAUGUGCCUUGUAGAACUCAUUUGCGGACUGAUUCCUUCGUGUCUGGUUGCAGCGCUUCUUGUCUCUCGACGUGCUUGGGGGUGGGAGUUCGCUCCUCGCACCCAGCGCUCGGGUGACUGGGCGCUUCCCUGACACAUAGACGAUGACUAAAUGGUUCUAUUCGACCCGUCUUGAAACACGGACCAAGGAGUCUAACAUAUGUGCGAGUCCACGGGUGGUAAACCUGCUGGCGCAGUGAAAGCGACUGCUGGGAUUUUUGCACCAGCAACCGACCAAUCAAUUGAGAGAGGUUUGAGUAUGAGCAUAUCUGUUAGGACCCGAAAGAUGGUGAACUAUGCCUGAGAAGGGCAAACUCAGGGGAAACUCUGAUGGAGGCUCGUAGCGAUACUGACGUGCAAAUCGUUCGUCAUACUUGGGUAUAGGGGCGAAAGACUAAUCGAACCAUCUAGUAGCUGGUUCCCUCCGAAG
rnacentral:rRNA from 1 species